GUCAGCCAUGCUAUUCAUAGCACCUCUGUGCUGUCCAUGGUGACACCUCGGAAGCUUUGUGUUCUGAGAUCCAAGAAGCAUGAAGUAAAAUGUUCAAUACAAAGAUCAGAGAACUCCACGCAUGUGAGCUACCGUGUCAAGAGGCUUGUCAAGUAUUGACAAAAGACUCAGAUGGAUGACUGGAGUUUUUCAGCACCGGUGACUUUAUCAAACAACCCAGAGAAUCAAAGGCUUCAGGUGACAGUGUCUAGGGUUUCCAGGAGGAAAAAGUAACCACUCUCAGCAUGAUAGUCCAUGUAGAGAGCUAGAAUCGGCAGAGUCCAUUUCCAAAAGCAAAUUCUAAUUCUGAGAGUACUCCACCAUGAAUACAGGCAGCUGAACCUGAAGUUAUCUGGCUUCAACCACUUCUAGAAGAAACUAGAAUAAACGACAUUUUUGU
rnacentral:sRNA from 1 species